rnacentral:rRNA from 1 species
GACGAACGCUGGCGGCGUGCCUAAUACAUGCAAGUAGAACGCACAGUUUAUACCGUAGCUUGCUACACCAUAGACUGUGAGUUGCGAACGGGUGAGUAACGCGUAGGUAACCUGCCUGGUAGCGGGGGAUAACUAUUGGAAACGAUAGCUAAUACCGCAUAAUAUUAAUUAUUGCAUGAUAAUUAAUUGAAAGGUGCAAUUGCACCACUACCAGAUGAACCUGCGUUGUAUUAGCUAGUAGGUGAGGUAACGGCUCACCUAGGCGACGAUACAUAGCCGACCUGAGAGGGUGAUCGGCCACACUGGGACUGAGACACGGCCCAGAUUCCUACGGGAGGCAGCAGUAGUGAAUCUUCGGCAAUGGACGAAAGUCUGACCGAGCAACGCCGCGUGAGUGAAGAAGGUUUUCGGAUCGUAAAGCUCUGUUGUAAGAGAAGAACGGGUGUGAGAGUGGAAAGUUCACACUGUGGCGGUAUCUUAUCAGAAAGGGACGGCUAACUACGUG